rnacentral:rRNA from 1 species
UUGAACGCUGGCGGCAUGCCUUACACAUGCAAGUCGAACGGCAGCGCGGGAGCAAUCCUGGCGGCGAGUGGCGAACGGGUGAGUAAUACAUCGGAACGUGCCCAAUCGUGGGGGAUAACGCAGCGAAAGCUGUGCUAAUACCGCAUACGGUCUACGGAUGAAAGCAGGGGAUCGCAAGACCUUGCGCGAAUGGAGCGGCCGAUGGCAGAUUAGGUAGUUGGUGAGGUAAAGGCUCACCAAGCCUUCGAUCUGUAGCUGGUCUGAGAGGACGACCAGCCACACUGGGACUGAGACACGGCCCAGACUCCUACGGGAGGCAGCAGUGGGGAAUUUUGGACAAUGGGCGAAAGCCUGAUCCAGCCAUGCCGCGUGCAGGAUGAAGGCCUUCGGGUUGUAAACUGCUUUUGUACGGAACGAAACGGUCUUUUCUAAUAAAGAAGGCUAAUGACGGUACCGUAAGAAUAAGCACCGGCUAACUACGUG